rnacentral:rRNA from 1 species
UCCUACGGGAGGCAGCAGUGGGGAAUUUUGGACAAUGGGGGCAACCCUGAUCCAGCCAUGCCGCGUGAGUGAAGAAGGCCUUCGGGUUGUAAAGCUCUUUCGGCCGGGACGAAAUCGCACCAUCUAAUAAGUGGUGUGGAUGACGGUACCGGAAUAAGAAGCACCGGCUAACUACGUGCCAGCAGCCGCGGUAAU